CCAGGCAUUGUGCCCUCUGCCUGCAGCCAGGCCAUGCUCUCUGUAGGGUCAGGAGCGCUUCUCCCUCUCUGUGGAGUCCCAGCGUCUGUGUGGGGGAACACCUACAUGCGGCCACUAUUGCCCCAGGCUGAAACCUUGUGCUUAGAUGGAAGUAUCAAUGGCAAGGAAAAUGCCCCUUUCAAGCAAAUCUUUAAUAGUUUAUUUUCUGGAUGAAAGAAGAUCCAAGACUGAUGCCAGGUGAAAUACCGACCAACAGUGUUGUCUUUAAAGCCUUGAGAGCCUGAGAGGAAACUCAAAACCUGCUGCUGAUUGUAAUAAGUCCAGUAAACAAUUUCAUCCCUGAAGAAACAUUUCUCAUUGUGUGCUGCACAGAAGGCUUUGCAUCGAGAGUCUACCUUGCUGUAGCCGGGGCUCCUCUUCUCCACUGUUUAUUCCACAUUAGGAGAACAGCAGUUGGGCUUUCUGCAUGGAUUUAUAUUCACACCUCGCGAACCUCUGCCUCCAAGGGAAAAGCAAUAGUGUGGAAGACAAUUUCUGCUGUCAGCUUAUGCACUUGCCAGGAGGAGGCAGGAAUUACCUCUAGUCAUUACUGGUCACGCUCAUAAUCCAAGAGGCUUCUUUCAAGAUGUGGUGGGACACAGGCUUUUUGCACAUUGAAUGUUAAAGGUAGUGUCAGCUUUCAUAGUAAUUUAAGGCUGGCAUUCCUCCCUGCCUUACUCUUGCUUCCAAAGGGCAUCUUUCAUCUUUCUUGGAGGCUUAUCUUUAGCAGACAUCAUAAACAAAAGCCUUUAAACACCCUCACCAUCUCACAGACUGGCUUCAUUCAGUACCUGGCCAGAAAUGCUGGGUGUCCCUUUUGUCUGGGUGAUGGAACAUUUGGCUGAGGGGAACAAGUAUCUGAGGGAGGGCAAGUGCAUGUGAGUGUGAGUGUGUACAUGGGUGUGUGGGUGUGUGAGGCUCCUCAUGCCAGCCUCUCCAGCCUCUGAAUCCUGGGCAGUGUCCCACAGGAGGGUGAGAAGGUGCUUUUCCUGGCACACAGGCACAGGGGGUUCUGCUGCAGACCAGGAGCAUGGAUGUUUGUUCCAUGUUUUGCUGGGAUAAGCUGAGGCAGGAGCCUCAGAACAGAGCUGCAGGUGAUUUGGGGAAAAAUAGUUAAAAAGAAAGACAUUAAAACUGAGGAGGGGGGUGCUGGUGGUUACUAAGCACAGAACAAGGAGAAGCUCACCACGCAGCUGUUGCCCAGCUGUCUUAGUGCACCUUGGAGGAGCUUUUUUGGAUAUUGUGGACUUUGUUUUCCUCCAGCAUGUGAGUUGCUGAUGCAAGGUGAGACACAGAUGAACAUUUGGCUGUGUUUUUUCAAAGCCAGUGGAGUUUAAAAGAGAGCCAUGCUUCAGCAGCAGGGCUUUUCCAGCCCUGGCACUGGUGCAACCCCUUCUGCCCAAGCAUCCACCCACUUAACCAAGGUAUCCCAACCUCCCUCUUCCCAGACAACAGCCACCCUGACUGACCUCUGUGCUGAGCCCUUCCUGGCAAUUAGCAACCUGCCAAGCUAAUCAACACCUCCUGGCAGAGCCCUGCCACAGCCAGGAAAAAUGACUGUGCUCUUGAUCCGGUGCUGGGAAGCACCAGGAGCUCCAGCCAAGUGGGCACCUUGCAGAGUAGGCUCCCUGCCUGCCAGGGUGUGAUGUCCCAAGCUCCCUGAGAGCAGUGGCCCUAGGGAAGGAGGCCCCAUGGCCUGCAGCACACGUGCUUCUGACAGGUUACACUCUGGGAGCAGGAUUACUACAUGGCUUCUGAGAAGCAAUAAACAGCCAUGGCCCAUCUUGCAUAAUGCCACAGUCUGAUUUCCAGUGCUGCUGAACUCCUCCAUUGGAAAGAGGAGCCACAGAAACUGGGCUGUGGGCCAGUCUGUGUCCUGUUGCUCAUGAAGCACAAAGCCUUCUGCCCUUUGACUUUCAAAACACUCACAGCACCCUCCUGCUCCUUCAGGAUCGCCCACACCUUCAUGCCCAUCAGUGCCGCUCUUGGCUUUGCUGGAGAUGGACAUGUUGAGACAGGACAGCUCCAUCUGUCCCUGCUUUGCUUCAUGUCCCACUGGCUUCAUGGUGUGGGCACCUUGUAGCCACACACUGCCUCAAUGUCCUCUGCAAAACCCAUUGCUCAGCUGAUAUUCCCAAAGUGGCAAAUGUGUUCCCUGGGUGGGUGUGUGGCUUCACCCUCUUUGCGCUGCCUGUGGCUCACAGCCAGGAGGUGCCUCAGCCCCAGCUGGCUCACUGGUGGGAUGCUGGGGAGGUUUGCCAGCUCCAGUGCCCAGUGGGACAGGGAUGCAGGGGAGCUGCAGACUCGCUGCAGCCACAGAGCUUUUCUGGGGACUGGUCACUGCCAGCAGCAGCCCAUGGAUCAGUGUCUGGGAUUGCCAUGAUAACCAAACCAUGGCAUGCUUGUGACACUUUCAUUGAAGUGAGUGACCAUUGCUGCACCACUCAGGGGUGGUUUGCAGCAGCACUGAACCACCAGGGCACCUCUCCGAGUCAUGGGGAAGAGGUAGCCACUGGCAGAGGGCUGUUCAGGAGGGGUGUGCUCAGGCUGGCAUGGGGGAAAAACAGGAAAGGCCUGCUAAAAGGGAUUAGAUGCAGCUCUGAAUGUGGAGCAGGGAUUACAGGCAGCCCAGCCUGCCAAGCAAUGCUUAUUGGGAGACCUGAGGAGGGAAAGAGGAGCAUGAAUUAAAUAAUUGCCCAGCAAUUAAUUUCUGAGCACUACCUCUGCUGCUGAAGGACUCUUGCUCUGUUCUCACAAGGUGGACACAGGGGCCAGCACAGCCUAUGCUCAGUUCCUUCAGCAUCACACCCAGGUACUUCAGAGUGAUUUACAAGGAGCUGUCACAUCACCAGCGAGAGAAACAACCCAAAAUGAUGUUCCACCAUGCUCCUUAGGGUGAGCGCUGAGUAAUUACUCCAAUUACACUCCAAAUUACAGGGAAGCCAGUGGCCUUCACACAAGGACAGAUUGCAGAAUCCAUCUUUAAUUGUGGCUUGGGCUGUGCUCUGCUGCCUCCAGUUUGAAGUAUAUGUUCAUUUCCCUCGUGGGUCUGUAAUCACACUGCCUAUCAUCACCUUUUUAUCCACUCCUCUAUUUCUAGCAUGCAUGUCAAAAAAGACAGUAUAUCAAUCAGCCAGGCUUUCUUCACUGCUUCUUGUCAGCAGCAAACUGUGAUCUAAAAUGGAGCAACCAGUUGCCUUCACCUGGAAUUGCCUAGGAGAGGUGUCCAUCAAAAGCCAGUAAGUGACAAGCCCAUGGAGAGCAUGAUUUGUUGCUCCAGGUAAAUGAUGAAGGACAGGGCUUAGCCAGGCAGGGAGAGGCCAGCUGUAAAUCCAGAUCCCUGCCUGACACUGUUGUUAUGUCAAUAGUUAUGAAAGCCCAUCCACAGCUUCUCCCUCUGCCUGCAGCCCCGGUGCAUCCCACCAAGCAGGGCAGGCACAAGGACAAGGCCAUGGCAGGGGCUGCUCUGUCAGCACAGAUUUUGUCUAUAGUGAAGCUGCAGGGCUGUGUCAGGCUGAGCCUACCCACACUUUGGUCACAGCAUUGCCAGGGAUGGGGAACUCACCCAGGCUUUGUCACAGUGUUUCAGAAGGUGCUCACACACUGAAUCCGUGCCUUAUUUCUAACCACAGCCUUCUCUUGUCUUUGUCUGCCAAACAGAGGCACUGCCAAACAUUUAAUCACAUCAAAAAGAGCUUUAAUAAGCUGGGAUCAAGUUAGCCCUUUAACCUCUUUUUCUGGCCCACAUUGAUGGUGUCCCAGGAAUUUCUCUCCAUUAAAAGUCUGUCUUCUGAUCCCUUCAUUGGUCCUUGGCUUCUUCUUUGGGCUUUUUCCAGUUUCCCUGCCUCCUGAGAUGCUGCCCCACACUGGGCUUGGCUCCCAGGGAGGCUGCAGAUCCCUCCUGGACAGAUCUGUUCAGUCCCUUCCCUAUCAGAGGCACCUU